UACGUAGGUGGCAAGCGUUGUCCGGAAUUAUUGGGCGUAAAGCGCGCGCAGGCGGUCCUUUAAGUCUGAUGUGAAAGCCCACGGCUCAACCGUGGAGGGUCAUUGGAAACUGGGGGACUUGAGUGCAGAAGAGGAAAGCGGAAUUCCACGUGUAGCGGUGAAAUGCGUAGAGAUGUGGAGGAACACCAGUGGCGAAGGCGGCUUUCUGGUCUGUAACUGACGCUGAGGCGCGAAGGCUAGGGUAGCAAACAGG
rnacentral:rRNA from 1 species